UGAGUACUCCCUCCAUUCCGAAUUACUUAUCUUAGAUUUGUCUAGAUACGGAUGUAUCUAGCACUAACGGAUGUAUCUAGCACUAAAAUGAGUCUAGAUACAUCCGUAUCUAGACAAAUUCAAGACAAAUAAUUCGGAACGGAGGGAGUACGUA
rfam:Triticum aestivum genome assembly, contig: Triticum_aestivum_CS42_TGACv1_scaffold_131396_2BL